UCCCUGGUGGCUCAGUUGGUAAAGAACCUGCCUGCCAUGCGGGAGACCCAGGUUCAAUCCCUGGGUGGGGAA
rnacentral:tRNA from 1 species